rnacentral:rRNA from 1 species
GACGAACGCUGGCGGCGUGCCUAAUACAUGCAAGUCGAACGCAGUGGGUACUGGUGAGUAACCCGUGGGUACCCUGCCCAUCAGAGGUGAAAACACUUGGAAACAGGUGCUAAACCGAUACUGAUGGAUGGACCCGCGGUGCAUUAGCUAGUUGGUGAGGUAACGGCUCACCAAGGCCACGAUGCAUAGCCGACCUGAGAGGAUGAUCGGCCACACUGGGACUGAGACACGGCCCAGACUCCUACGGGAGGCAGCAGAAGGGAAUCUUGGGCAAUGGACGAAAGUCUGACCGAGCAAUGCCGCGUGAGUGAAGAAGGUUUUCGGAUCGUAAAACUCUGUUGUCAGAGAAGCGGUAGCUAAACAGAAAGCCACGGCUAACUACGUGCCAGCCGCCGCGGUAAUAC